rnacentral:tRNA from 1 species
GGUAGGGUGGCUGAAGGUAGGCGGGGGGCUGUAAACCCCAGGAUGGAGGUUUGAGUCCUCUCUCUACCAC